UACGUAGGUGGCAAGCGUUGUCCGGAAUUAUUGGGCGUAAAGCGCGCGCAGGUGGUUCCUUAAGUCUGAUGUGAAAGCCCACGGCUCAACCGUGGAGGGUCAUUGGAAACUGGGGAACUUGAGUGCAGAAGAGGAAAGUGGAAUUCCAAGUGUAGCGGUGAAAUGCGUAGAGAUUUGGAGGAAUCACCAGUGGCGAAGGCGACUUUCUGGUCUGUAACUGACACUGAGGCGCGAAAGC
rnacentral:rRNA from 1 species